rnacentral:rRNA from 1 species
CAUUCACGGAGAGUUUGAUCCUGGCUCAGGACGAACGCUGGCGGCGUGCUUAACACAUGCAAGUCGAACGAUGAAGCCCUUCGGGGUGGAUUAGUGGCGAACGGGUGAGUAACACGUGGGCAAUCUGCCCUUCACUCUGGG